CAUGCAAGUCGAGCGGGGGAGCAAUCCCUAGCGGCGGACGGGUGAGUAACGCGUGGGAACGUACCCUUUGGCUUCGGAAAGUAGCCCCCGGGGAAACUGGGAGUAAUACCGGAUGUGCCCUACGGGGGAAAGAAUUUCGGCAAAGGAUCGGCCCGCGUUGGAUUAGGUAGUUGGUGGGGUAAUGGCCUACCAAGCCGACGAUCCAUAGCUGGUUUGAGAGGAUGAUCAGCCACACUGGGACUGAGACACGGCCCAGACUCCUACGGGAGGCAGCAGUGGGAAUCUUAGACAAUGGGCGCAAGCCUGAUCUAGCCAUGCCGCGUGAGCGAUGAAGGCCUUAGGGUUGUAAAGCUCUUUCGUGGGGGAAGAUAAUGACGGUACCCCAAGAAGAAGCCCCGGCUAACUCCGUG
rnacentral:rRNA from 1 species